CCUACGGGGGCAGCAGUGGGGAAUAUUGGACAAUGGGCGAAAGCCUGAUCCAGCCAUGCCGCGUGUGUGAAGAAGGCCUUCGGGUUGUAAAGCACUUUCAGUGGGGAAGAAAGCCUUGGGGCUAAUACCCUCGAGGAAGGACAUCACCCACAGAAGAAGCACCGGCUAACUCCGUGCCAGCAGCCGCGGUAAUACGGAGGGUGCGAGCGUUAAUCGGAAUUACUGGGCGUAAAGCGCGCGUAGGCGGUCUGAUAAGCCGGUUGUGAAAGCCCCGGGCUCAACCUGGGAACGGCAUCCGGAACUGUCAGGCUAGAGUGCAGGAGAGGAAGGUAGAAUUCCCGGUGUAGCGGUGAAAUGCGUAGAGAUCGGGAGGAAUACCAGUGGCGAAGGCGGCCUUCUGGACUGACACUGACGCUGAGGUGCGAAAGCGUGGGUAGCAAACAGGAUUAGAUACCCUAGUAGC
rnacentral:rRNA from 1 species